rnacentral:lncRNA from 1 species
AGCCUCUUUAAUAAAUGGUGCUGGGAAAACUGGGUUCCAACUUGCCAAAAAUUAGAACUGAGCCAGGCCGUGCAGAGCCCAGCCUCAGAGUGGGCGCUGCGUGCCGCCGCCAGCACUCGCCGCCAGGAGCGGACCGCGCCCACCGAGAGGCCCCUCAGGAAAAGGACAGAUUUCCUUUCUACGGAUGCUUCGAAACUGUAAAUAAGCGAGAAUUACACAAGAACCCUGACUCCAAACUUGGUUGUUGAUCAGACCUGAGCCAACUGCAGUCCUUUCCCCAAAGACAACCUAUUGGAUAGUAGUAAGCAAAUGAUCAAGCUGACCCAAGUUUCUAUGACAGUUUGGAAUCCAGGAGAGAGAUUCCAGGUAUGGUUCAGAAGAAGAUAUAAAUUUGGGUUUGUGUAUCAUUUUAUAUCU